CUUUCAUUUAACAUCAAAUAUUUAGCUAUGAAACAUAAUUUAAUAUGAAUAAAAUAUUAAAAAAAUGGGAGAAAAUAAGACAUUUUUUUUUUUUUAGUUCUACGUGACAUUUUAACUGUGAAUGUCAUAAUACUGUUUGCUUUUACUUCAAUAAAAUACACAUUUGUAUUCAGUGAUGUCUCCCGUGUAAAACAGUACCCCCUAUAUACAGGUUUUAUGGUGUUUUGGAAAGUUAC